rnacentral:rRNA from 1 species
AGAGUUUGAUCAUGGCUCAGAUUGAACGCUGGCGGCAGGCCUAACACAUGCAAGUCGAACGGUAACAGGAAACAGCUUGCUGUUUCGCUGACGAGUGGCGGACGGGUGAGUAAUGUCUGGGAAACUGCCUGAUGGAGGGGGAUAACUACUGGAAACGGUAGCUAAUACCGCAUAACGUCGCAAGACCAAAGAGGGGGACCUUCGGGCCUCUUGCCAUCGGAUGUGCCCAGAUGGGAUUAGCUAGUAGGUGGGGUAACGGCUCACCUAGGCGACGAUCCCUAGCUGGUCUGAGAGGAUGACCAGCCACACUGGAACUGAGACACGGUCCAGACUCCUACGGGAGGCAGCAGUGGGGAAUAUUGCACAAUGGGCGCAAGCCUGAUGCAGCCAUGCCGCGUGUAUGAAGAAGGCCUUCGGGUUGUAAAGUACUUUCAGCGGGGAGGAAGGGAGUAAAGUUAAUACCUUUGCUCAUUGACGUUACCCGCAGAAGAAGCACCGGCUAACUCCGUGCCAGCMGCCGCGGUAAUUC